rnacentral:rRNA from 1 species
AGGCAGCAGUGGGGAAUUUUGCGCAAUGGGGGAAACCCUGACGCAGCAACGCCGCGUGAGUGAUGAAGGCCUUCGGGUCGUAAAGCUCUGUCAGAGGGGAAGAAAUGCAGGGGUGCUAAUAUCAUCUUUGCUUGACGGUACCCUCAAAGGAAGCACCGGCUAACUCC